rnacentral:lncRNA from 1 species
CCCUCCCUCCCCACCCGGCUUUUUCCUUCUCUCCCUCUCCCCCAACUCGCUUCCCACCGCCCCCGCACCACUCCACCCGCCGCCGGCUUCGGGGCGCCGGGACCCCCCCCGGGACCCCCAGCCCCGCCCCGGGACGCCUCGGGGAGGUUCUUCCCGCCCCCGGCCCCUCGCCCCCGGCCCCGGCCGCGGCGAGUCCCGCCCGGGGAGGCGGCGGCGGGGAAAGGGGGAGGAGAGGCGGCGGAGCGCUGUGCUUCCCGAGGAAUCAGACGUGCGGAGAAGGGAGGGAAGGACGGGCCGGGGUGGUGUGGGGAGGGUCUCGGUGCCGGUCCCGCCCGCGUCGCCUCCGUUCCGGGACCGCGGGGAGAGUCGCUUGGGGCGGCCGCCACCCGCCGGCCCCGCAGCCGGGCCCCGCGCCCAUGUGCUGCCGGCACCCGCGGCGGCAGCCCCCGCGCCCGGCGUGCGAGUAAGUAUCCCGGCUCCCCCCGGCUUCCCCCGGCCUCCCGCGCCCCUCAGAGCCCGGUCCUCCCGGCUGCAUCCCUGUGCCGCCCGCUCCCCGCACCGCCAUCCAGCAGCCGCGUCCCUUUCACGUUCCUCCGAACUGUCCGGGCCCCUUCUCCUCCCGGCUCCCCGCCGUCCUCCGUCCCUCGUCCCGUUCCUCUCCGGCGCCCCCGUCCUCCUCGGAUCUCCCCACUACUCCGCACUCUUUCCACCCCCACUCCCGUCCUCCCGCUCCCCGCCGUACCCUUGCCCACCCCUCGCACCCCGCAGCGUUCCCCUCGCAUCACCCCGGCGAGUUUCACUUCCCGGCCCCCGCUUUCCCUUGGGGGGCCCCGGAGCUCUCGGCCGCCCACUCCUACCCCGGAGCGGAGGAGCGGGGUUUUGGGGCCGGAGGGGCGAUCCCACGCCCCAGAGAGAGUGCCGGGCGUGGGCUGGCAGCGCCCGGGGUGCGAAGCGGAGCUGCUGCCCCGCGGGUUGGAAGGGUCCUGUCCCUGUAUCCAACCCGAUCUCUUCCUCCGGUUGAGGGAACGGUCUCCCCGAAGUGCUGUGACCCACUUUGCGGGAGACGUUUGGUGGCACGCCAAGACGCGGGCGGGUCCUUCCCCGGGAGAUGCCUCCGGAGGGAUGGAGGCGGCCCGUGCCCCGCUCCAAGUUUCUGUCCCCGGGGCUCGGGCUCUGGCAGGUUGA